GACGUAGGGCGCGAGCGUUGUCCGGAUUUAUUGGGCGUAAAGAGCUUGUAGGCGGUUUGUCGCGUCUGCCGUGAAAAAUUCGAGGCUCAACCUCGAACUUGCGGUGGGUACGGGCAGACUAGAGUGUGGUAGGGGAGACUGGAAUUCCUGGUGUAGCGGUGAAAUGCGCAGAUAUCAGGAGGAACACCGAUGGCGAAGGCAGAUCUCUGGGCCGUAACUGACGCUGAGGAGCGAAAGCAUGGGGAGCGAACAGG
rnacentral:rRNA from 1 species